AAUAAAAAAGUAAAAAAAAAAAAUUCUAGCAACUGUAUAUAUAUUGCUAGUUCUCUAACAUCCAUUGUAGUGUUGCUCAUUCUGCUAAGUGCUAAAAUGGCUGAAAACGCAAACAGUAGUAUCAUUCAGGCCUCUCAAAAUGAGUCUACUCUGGUUUCACAUAGUAUUUACAACUAUCAUGCUGUUUCAACUAUAAAAAUUUAAGGGCAUCUGCACUCUUCUAUAUCCAAU
rnacentral:misc_RNA from 1 species